rnacentral:rRNA from 1 species
GUACGUACAAGCAGUGGGAGCCCCACCACUAAGCCAGUGGUGAACUCCACAUACGCAUCCUUUGCUGAGGAUACGGUUAACGGAGCGAAAGCGACGUUCAACCGCAAAAGAAGCAGAGGGGGCUUAGUGGUGGGGUGACUGCGUACCUUUUGUAUAAUGGGUCAGCGACUUAUAUUCUGUAGCAAGGUUAACCGAAUAGGGGAGCCGGAGGGAAACCGAGUCUUAACCGGGCGUUAAGUUGCAGGGUAUAGACCCGAAACCCGGUGAUCUAGCCAUGGGCAGGUUGAAGGUUGGGUAACACUAACUGGAGGACCGAACCGACUAAUGUUGAAAAAUUAGCGGAUGACCUGUGGCUGGGGGUGAAAGGCCAAUCAAACCGGGAGAUAGCUGGUUCUCCCCGAAAGCUAUUUAGGUAGCGCCUCGUGAAUUCAUCUCCGGGGGUAGAGCACUGUUUCGGCUAGGGGGCCAUCCCGGCUUACCAACCCGAUGCAAACUGCGAAUACCGGAGAAUGUUAUCACGGGAGACACACGGCGGGUGCUAACGUCCGUCGUGAAGAGGGAAACAACCCAGACCGCCAGCUAAGGUCCCAAAGUCAUGGUUAAGUGGGAAACGAUGUGGGAAGGCCCAGACAGCCAGGAUGUUGGCUUAGAAGCAGCCAUCAUUUAAAGAAAGCGUAAUAGCUCACUGGUCGAGUCGGCCUGCGCGGAAGAUGUAACGGGGCUAAACCAUGCACCGAAGCUGCGGCAGCGAACGUAUCACUUAAAGCGAUUCAGCGGGUUACGAUUGACGGAGCGAAGCGACGUCAAAGCGUAUACAAAGUCGAGUCGGUUUAAGGAUACGUUCGUUGGGUAGGGGAGCGUUCUGUAAGCCUGUGAAGGUGGCCUGUGAGGGUUGCUGGAGGUAUCAGAAGUGCG